rnacentral:rRNA from 1 species
GUGGAUUAGGCAUGCAAGUCGAACGAAUCCCACUGUUGUAGCAAUACAGUGGUGGGGGAAGUGGCGAAAGGGGCAGUAAUGCGUGGGUAACCUACCCUGGGGACGUGGAUAGCCAUUCUAACGAGUGGGUAAUACGCGGCGAUUUGAUUGAGGGGCAUCCCUUGGUCAGGAAAUGAAUUUCGCCUCGGGAGGGGCUCACGUGAUAUUAGCUAGUUGGUAGGGUAACGGCCUACCAAGGCAAAGAUGUCUAGCGGGUGUGAGAGCACGACCCGCGCCACUGGCACUGAGACACUGGCCAGACACCUACGGGUGGCUGCAGUCGAGGAUCUUUGGCAAUGAGCGCAAGCUUGACCAAGCGACGCCGCGUGUGCGAUGAAGGCCUUCGGGUUGUAAAGCACUGUCGAGGGGGACGAAGCCGAAAGGUUGACCGAUCCCUGGAGGAAGCACGGGCUAAGUUCGUGCCAGCAGCCGCGGUAAGACGAACCGUGCGAACGUUGUUCGGAAUCACUGGGCUUAAAGGGCGCGUAGGCGGCUUGCCAAGUCAGUGGUGAAAUCCCGCAGCUUAACUGCGGAAGUGCCUUUGAUACUGGCGAGCUCGAGGGAGG